rnacentral:rRNA from 1 species
GACGAACGCUGGCGGCGUGCUUAACACAUGCAAGUCGAACGGUAAGGCCCUUCGGGGGUACACGAGUGGCGAACGGGUGAGUAACACGUGGGUGAUCUACCCUGCACUUCGGGAUAAGCCUGGGAAACUGGGUCUAAUACCGGAUAGGACUCCGGACUGCAUGGUCUGGGGUGGAAAGCUUUUGCGGUGUGGGAUGGGCCCGCGGCCUAUCAGCUUGUUGGUGGGGUGAUGGCCUACCAAGGCGACGACGGGUAGCCGGCCUGAGAGGGUGACCGGCCACACUGGGACUGAGAUACGGCCCAGACUCCUACGGGAGGCAGCAGUGGGGAAUAUUGCACAAUGGGCGCAAGCCUGAUGUAGCGACGCCGCGUGAGGGAUGACGGCCUUCGGGUUGUAAACCUCUUUCAGCAUCGACGAAGCGAAAGUGACGGUAGGUGCAGAAGAAGGACCGGCCAACUACGUGCCAGCAGCCGCGGUAA